GCCCCAGUAGCUCAGUGGAUUAGAGUAUGCGGCUUCUAUCCGUUUGGUCGGGGGUUCGAGUCCCUCCUGGGGCGCCA
rnacentral:tRNA from 1 species